rnacentral:rRNA from 1 species
AUUGAACGCUGGCGGAAUGCUUUACACAUGCAAGUCGAGCGGCAGCGCGGGGCAACCUGGCGGCGAGCGGCGAACGGGUGAGUAAUGCAUCGGAACGUACCCAGUCGUGGGGGAUAACUGUCCGAAAGGACAGCUAAUACCGCAUACGUCCUGAGGGAGAAAGCGGGGGAUCGCAAGACCUCGCGCGAUUGGAGCGGCCGAUGCCGGAUUAGCUAGUUGGUAGGGUAAAGGCCUACCAAGGCGACGAUCCGUAGCUGGUCUGAGAGGACGACCAGCCACACUGGAACUGAGACACGGUCCAGACUCCUACGGGAGGCAGCAGUGGGGAAUUUUGGACAAUGGGGGCAACCCUGAUCCAGCCAUUCCGCGUGAGUGAAGAAGGCCUCGGUUGUAA